rnacentral:rRNA from 1 species
GAUGAACGCUGGCGGCGUGCCUAAUACAUGCAAGUCGAGCGAACAGACGAGGAGCUUGCUCCUCUGACGUUAGCGGCGGACGGGUGAGUAACACGUGGAUAACCUACCUAUAAGACUGGGAUAACUUCGGGAAACCGGAGCUAAUACCGGAUAAUAUAUUGAACCGCAUGGUUCAAUAGUGAAAGACGGUUUUGCUGUCACUUAUAGCUGGAUCCGCGCCGCAUUAGCUAGUUGGUAAGGUAACGGCUUACCAAGGCAACGAUGCGUAGCCGACCUGAGAGGGUGAUCGGCCACACUGGAACUGAGACACGGUCCAGACUCCUACGAGAGGCAGCAGUAGGGAAUCUGCCGCAAUGGGCGAAAGCUUGACGGAGCAACGCCGCGUGAGUGAUGAAGGUCUUCGGAUCGUAAAACUCUGUUAUUGGGGAAGAACAAAUGUGUAAGUAACUAUGCACGUCUUGACGGUACCUAGUCAGAAAGCCACGGCUAACUACGUG